CAACAAAAGCCUCGCUUCCGGGACUACGGAACACAGAUGAGUGUUCUAUCACAUUCCUGACCGAUCACUCGUGACCUUCACCAUUGCACCGGCUGGCUUUACGAAGGAAGCCCUGGCUGCUGGACCACCCACGGGAGCCUCAGUAGCCACUGGAAUGGAUUUCUCCACAGCAUUCCCCAUGGAAGGGGACCAUCCAUCGCUCAGACCUUCUGUUUUCCUUAAAGGAAAGGGGUGAUUGCCUCCUCUUGGUUUCCAGCACACCUCUGGAGGCCACGGCCUCUCUACAGUGGAUGCUCAGUCUCUGAGUUCCAGGAGCCACUCCCCAAAUGGAGUCGCUCAUCUAGAAAGUGUUCUUUUCUAUCGACGGUGCCCAAGCACCAGCUCGAAGGAGGAUGUUGGCUGCAUAUGACUCACACUUGGGGCUGGAAACAAAGCAGUGUCCAGGCCACAGUGACACCUCUGCUCACGACAACACCCUGCGGUGGAGCACAUGUGGAGGGAAGGAACCUAGCAUAGUGCUGCAUUCCACCCAACUCUGGGGCAUGCUGGGAGGACAUCCGAAGAACAGACCCACACCAGACAAUGACACCCUCAUCGCUACUGCUGGAAAUGUUCUCAGCAUUUUCAAAGAUCUGAGAGUGGGGCCACUAUACAUCCCCAAGGCCAGACUCAUGGACUGCCGUUCAUCAACUGCUGGCUGUCUGCAUACAGCAAACAUCCCUGACCAGUGAGGCUCCCACGGAAGACUGCUCAGCCUUGGCACGUGUCAUGAUCUGAACGUGCAAUGGAUCCUACAGGCGGGGGAGGACCUAGGAAAGGCCUGUGGAGGCUAACCAUCCUGGGCUGUUUCCGUUUCUCUCUGCUGCACCACCACAGAGGACACUGCCGGGCGCCCGACGCCACGGAGCCUUGCUACGCACUUCAUCCCUGCGGGCCGGCCGGCCUGCGCCUUCUAGAUCUGUGAACAGGAAUAAAGCGUCCCUCCUUCAAGGUGCUCCCAGCAGGCACUCCGUCACAAGGAGAAAGUCAACUAACCCAGUCCUACUGCUAUUGGGGGAGGGGGGCAAACGGUCUUUGUAAUGGGGUUCAUCCUGAAUCACAUGUGUUUAGCUACAUCUCGCCUCUGCCCAUUAACUGCCAGAAAUCCCUCUCUCUCUCAGCUGUGACAACCCAAAAUGUUAAUGGACAUUACCAAAAUUUACCGGGGGGCAAAAUUAUCCAUGGUCAAGAACCAAUGUUCUAUAAGUUUCCAUAUAGAAUUAUUAUGGGCUGCUUUU